GUGGGGAAUCUUGCGCAAUGGGCGAAAGCCUGACGCAGCCAUGCCGCGUGAAUGAUGAAGGUCUUAGGAUUGUAAAAUUCUUUCACCGGGGACGAUAAUGACGGUACCCGGAGAAGAAGCCCCGGCUAACUUCGUGCCAGCAGCCGCGGUAAUACGAAGGGGGCUAGCGUUGCUCGGAAUUACUGGGCGUAAAGGGCGCGUAGGCGGACAGUUUAGUCAGAGGUGAAAGCCCAGGGCUCAACCUUGGAAUUGCCUUUGAUACUGGCUGUCUUGAGUUUGGGAGAGGUGAGUGGAACUCCGAGUGUAGAGGUGAAAUUCGUAGAUAUUCGGAAGAACACCAGUGGCGAAGGCGACUCACUGGCCCGUUACUGACGCUGAGGCGCGAAAGCGUGGGGAGCAAACAGGAUUAGAUACCCGGGUAGUCC
rnacentral:rRNA from 1 species